rnacentral:tRNA from 1 species
AUGAGCUCAGCUGGUCAGAGCAUGGUGCUGAUAAUGCCAAGGUCAUGGGUUUGAUCCCUAUAU